UGGACAACCUGCCCUUAGGUUGGGUAUAAACCCGGGAAACUGGGUAUAAUACCCGAUAGGUCUCGAUUGCUGGAAUGCAUCGAGAUUUAAAGCUCCGGCGCCUAAGGAUGGGUCUGCGGCCUAUCAGGUAGUAGUGGGUGUAGCGUACCUACUAGCCUACGACGGGUACGGGUUGUGAGAGCAAGAGCCCGGAGAUGGAUUCUGAGACACGAAUCCAGGCCCUACGGGGUGCAGCAGGCGCGAAAACUUUACAAUGCUGGCAACAGCGACAAGGGAACCUCGAGUGCCAGGUUACAAAUCUGGCUGUCGAGAUGCCUAAAAAGCAUUUCAUAGCAAGGGCCGGGCAAGACCGGUGCCAGCCGCCGCGGUAACACCGGCGGCUCGAGUGGUAACCGUUAUUAUUGGGUCUAAAGGGUCUGUAGCCGGCCGGAUAAGUCUCUUGAGAAAUCUGGCAGCUUAACUGUCAGGCUUUCAGGAGAUACUGUCUGGCUCGAGGCCGGGAGAGGUGAGAGGUACUUCAGGGGUAGGGGUGAAAUCUUGUAAUCCUUGAAGGACCACCAGUGGCGAAGGCGUCUCACCAGAACGGACCUGACGGCAAGGGACGAAAGCUAGGGGCACGAACCGGAUUAGAUACCCGGGUAGUCCUAGCCGUAAACGAUACUCGCUAGGUGUCGGCCACGGUGCGACCGUUGUCGGUGCCGUAGGGAAGCCGUGAAGCGAGCCACCUGGGAAGUACGGCCGCAAGGCUGAAACUUAAAGGAAUUGGCGGGGGAGC
rnacentral:rRNA from 1 species